rnacentral:lncRNA from 1 species
UUCAAGUAUUUGCCUCUUCCGAGACCAGUCGAUAACGACGAGACUUCUAAAUAGAUUGGCGCAUGCAAGAGUUGGAUCUUACCUUGGCUGAAGACUCACCUUCAUGUCGAGGCGCCCGGUAGCACACCAACGACAACUCCUCAACAAGGUAUGGACACCACUCCACCUACCCAAUUACCUGCACCUGUCAUGGCGGGUGAUAGAGGUCGACAUGGCGAGGGAGAGCCUCCAUUAGUGCCAGCUGACGUCGCCCCUAACUAGUAAAUACUGAUGAUGUCAUGGAGGAUGCUGAUGACCCUAACUAGUAAAUCAAUACCGGCUAUGACGAUGCUCAGGAGUAUGAAUAAGGCUAUGAGCGUGGAGAUGACUUGAUGA